rnacentral:rRNA from 1 species
GACGAACGCUGGCGGCGUGCUUAACACAUGCAAGUCGAACGGAAAGGCCCUGCUUUUGUGGGGUGCUCGAGUGGCGAACGGGUGAGUAACACGUGAGUAACCUGCCCUUGACUUUGGGAUAACUUCAGGAAACUGGGGCUAAUACCGGAUAGGAGCUCCUGCUGCAUGGUGGGGGUUGGAAAGUUUCGGCGGUUGGGGAUGGACUCGCGGCUUAUCAGCUUGUUGGUGGGGUAGUGGCUUACCAAGGCUUUGACGGGUAGCCGGCCUGAGAGGGUGACCGGCCACAUUGGGACUGAGAUACGGCCCAGACUCCUACGGGAGGCAGCAGUGGGGAAUACUGCACAAUGGGCGGAAGCCUGAUGCAGCAACGCCGCGUGCGGGAUGACGGCCUUCGGGUUGUAAACCGCUUUCGCCUGUGACGAAGCGUGAGUGACGGUAAUGGGUAAAGAAGCACCGGCUAACUACGUGCCAGCAGCCGCGGUGAUACGUAGGGUGCGAGCGUUGUCCGGAUCUAUUGGGCGUAAAGGGCUCGUAGGUGGUUGAUCGCGUCGGAAGUGUAAUCUUGGGGCUUAACCCUGAGCGUGCUUUCGAUACGGGUUGACUUGAGGAAGGUAGGGGAGAAUGGAAUUCCUGGUGGAGCGGUGGAAUGCGCAGAUAUCAGGAGGAACACCAGUGGCGAAGGCGGUUCUCUGGGCCUUUCCUGACGCUGAGGAGCGAAAGCGUGGGGAGCGAACAGGCUUAGAUACCCUGGUAGUCCACGCUGUAAACGGUGGGUACUAGGUGUGGGGUCCAUUCCACGGGUUCCGUGCCGUAGCUAACGCUUUAAGUACCCCGCCUGGGGAGUACGGCCGCAAGGCUAAAACUCAAAGGAAUUGACGGGGCCCCGCACAAGCGGCGGAGCAUGCGGAUUAAUUCGAUGCAACGCGUAGAACCUUACCUGGGUUUGACAUGGAUCGGGAGUGCUCAGAGAUGGGUGUGCCUCUUUUGGGGUCGGUUCACAGGUGGUGCAUGGCUGUCGUCAGCUCGUGUCGUGAGAUGUUGGGUUAAGUCCCGCAACGAGCGCAACCCUUGUUCACUGUUGCCAGCACGUUAUGGUGGGGACUCAGUGGAGACCGCCGGGGUCAACUCGGAGGAAGGUGGGGAUGACGUCAAGUCAUCAUGCCCCUUAUGUCCAGGGCUUCACGCAUGCUACAAUGGCUGGUACAGAGAGUGGCGAGCCUGUGAGGGUGAGCGAAUCUCGGAAAGUCGGUCUCAGUUCGGAUUGGGGUCUGCAACUCGACCUCAUGAAGUCGGAGUCGCUAGUAAUCGCAGAUCAGCAACGCUGCGGUGAAUACGUUCCCGGG